rnacentral:rRNA from 1 species
CCAAUAGCGUAUAUUAAAGUUGUUGCAGUUAAAAAGCUCGUAGUUGAAUUUCGGGAUCAAUUUAUUGGUCGUGCUAUUGUACGUACUGGUAUUAUUGAUUCCUACCUUCUGACGAACCAUGAUGUCAUUAAUUUGGUGUCAUGGGGAAUCAGGACUGCUACUUUGAAAAAAUUAGAGUGUUUAAAGCAGGCUCACGCUUGAAUACAUUAGCAUGGAAUAACGAAAUAGGACGUUUGAUUCUAUUUUGUUGGUUUCUAGGAUCGACGUAAUGAUUAAUAGGGAUAGUUGGGGGCAUUAGUAUUCAAUUGUCAGAGGUGAAAUUCUUGGAUUUAUUGAAGACUAACUACUGCGAAAGCAUUUGCCAAGGAUGUUUUCAUUAAUCAAGAACGAAAGUUAGGGGAUCGAAGACGAUCAGAUACCGUCGUAGUCUUAACCAUAAACUAUGCCGACUAGGGAUCGGAUGAUGUUAAUUUUUUAAUGACUCAUUCGGCGCCUUACG